AACGAACGCUGGCGGCAUGCCUAACACAUGCAAGUCGAACGAGACCUUCGGGUCUAGUGGCGCACGGGUGCGUAACGCGUGGGAACCUGCCUUUAGGUUCGGAAUAACUCAGAGAAAUUUGAGCUAAUACCGGAUAAUGUCUUCGGACCAAAGAUUUAUCGCCCUGAGAUAAGCCCGCGUAGGAUUAGCUAGUUGGUGAGGUAAAGGCUCACCAAGGCGACGAUCCUUAGCUGGUCUGAGAGGAUGAUCAGCCACACUGGAACUGAGACACGGUCCAGACUCCUACGGGAGGCAGCAGUGGGGAAUUUUUGGACAAUGGGCGCAAGCCUGAUCCAGCAAUGCCGCGUGCAGGAUGAAGGCCUUCGGUUGUAAACUGCUUUGUACGGUAACGAACGGUAGAG
rnacentral:rRNA from 1 species